AUGCUCGAGGGAAGAGGCCGCCGCGCGCCCGAGGGAAGAAGCCGCCGCGCGCCUGCGCUGAGCAGUCAACGGUGGAGUGAGCCACCGCAGCGCACCAUACUUGCCGCCCGUGCGUCCGCCAUGCCUGCCGCCCGCGCGUCCGCCGUGCUCGCCGCCCGCGCGUCCGCUGUCGCCCGCGUGUCCGCCAUGCUCGCCGCCCGCGCGUCCGCCGUAGCCCGCGUGUCCGCCAUGCUCGCUGUCUGCGCGGCCUCCCUGCUUCUCGCCCACGAGUACGCCAUGCUCGUCGCCCGCGCUGCCUCCUGCUCCCUGCCCGCGCUGCAUCCCCGCUCCACACCCGCGCCGGCCAUGGAUGUGUUGUGUGCAUUCCGUGGUGUGGUUGUGUGA
rnacentral:rRNA from 1 species